GAUGAACGCUGGCGGCGUGCCUAAUACAUGCAAGUCGAGCGAACAGACGAGGCGCUUGCUCCUCUGACGUUUGCGGCGGACGGGUGAGUAACAUGUGGAAAACCUACCUAUAAGACUGGGAUCAUCUCGGGAAACCGGCGCUCAUACCGGAUAAUCUCUUGAACCGCAUGGUUCAAUAGUGAAAGACGGUUUUGCUGUAACUUAUCGAUGGAUCCGCGCCGCAUUAGCUAGUUGGUACGGUAACGGCUUAUCAAGGCAACGAUGCGUAGCCGACCGGAGAGAGUGGUCGGCCACACGGGAACGGAGACACGGUCCAGACGCCUACGGGAGGGAGCAGUAGGGAAUCUGCCGCAGUGGGCGAAAGCCUGACGGAGCAACGCCGCGUGAGUGGUGAAGGUCUUCGGAUCGUAAAACUCUGUUAUUAGGGAAGAACAAAUGUGUAAGUAACUAUGCACGUCUUGACGGUACCGAAUCAGAAAGCCACGGCUAACUACGUG
rnacentral:rRNA from 1 species